UCCUGGACCCCGCCCCCUCCCCGGCUUGGUUCUUGUCCUCUUCGGCUGUCUUCCUGGGGCCCUUCAGUCUUCACAUACUUCUACAAAGGGAACAAAUACUGGAAAUUCAACAACCAGAAGCUGAAGGUAGAGCCAGGGUACCCCAAGUCAGCUCUGCGGGACUGGAUGGGCUGCCCUUCGGGGGGCCGGCCCGACGAGGGGACUGAGGAGGAGACGGAGGUGAUCAUCAUCGAGGUGGAUGAGGAGGGCAGCGGAGCCGUGAGUGCAGCUGCUGUCGUUCUGCCGGUGCUGCUGCUGCUCCUGGUACUGGCAGUGGGCCUUGCUGUCUUCUUCUUUAGACGCCAUGGGACACCCAAGCGACUGCUUUACUGCCAGCGUUCACUGCUGGACAAGGUCUGACCCCCACCACUGGCCCACCCGCUUCUACCACAAGGACUUUGCCUCCUCCGAAGGCAGUGGCAGCCGGUGGUGGCAGGUGGGCUGUUCUCACCCAUCCUGGGCUCCCUCCCUCCAGCCUCCCUUCUCAGUCCCUAAUUGGCUUCUCCCACCCUCACCCCAGCCUUGCUUCAUCCAUAGGUGGGUCCCUUGAGGGCUGAGCAGAAGAUGGUCUGGCCUCUGGCCCUCAAGGGACCCUCAUAGCUUGGUGUGUGUCCAACCCUAUUUGAAUGUUGUCAAGGCUCUGCACUUGAAGGCAGGACCCUCUGACCUUACAGGCAAAGGCCAAAUGGGGUCAUCUGCUUCUCUUCCAUCCCCCUAACUACAUAUCUUAAAUCUCUGAACUAUGACCUCAGGAGGCUUUGGGCAUAUGAGCCCUAUACGUACCAAGUGUACCCAGUUGGCAGCCUCCCGUCACUCUGACUAAAAAGAAUCUUCAGAGUGCAUAUUUGGAGGUGGAAAGAUUGUUCAGUUACCCUAAAGACUUUGAAAGAAAGAAAGAAAGAAAGAAAGAAAGAAAGAAAGAAAGAAAGAAAGAAAGAAAUUCACAGA
rnacentral:lncRNA from 1 species